rnacentral:rRNA from 1 species
GGUCAAGCUACAAAGAGCUAGUGGUGG